GGUUCCAGAACAAGAUAAAAGAUAUAUUUCCCACUUUCCAAAAAGACCCUCAAGUUCUGUUGUCGGAGAGUAGCUUGAUUAAGGCUGCCACAGGUCACCUAAUAUCCCUAAGCACAUCUUGGGCCUAUGUAGACUAUGUGUUCAUGCCACUCCUGCCCACGAACAAAGCUCACUGGAUGCUAGGUCUGGUAGAAUUUAGAAGUCAUACUUUGAUGCUGUUCAAUUCUGCUGGAAAAACUUAUCGUGAUUGGAAGGUGCUGGAAGGUAUUGAGUCUUAUGUGAAGGUAUUGCC
rnacentral:lncRNA from 1 species